UGUCGACAUUAUAGUUACGCAGGCACUUUGGUGACUCUAGAGAACCUUGGGCCAAUCGCACGUCCCAUGGUGACCACGGGUAACAGGGAAUCAGGGUUCGUUUCGGAGAGGGAGCCUAAGAAACAGCUACCACGUCCAAGGAAGGCAGCAGGCGCGCAAAUUACCCACUCCCGAUGCGGGGAAGUAGUGACGACA